rnacentral:tRNA from 1 species
UGCGGGGUAGAGCAGUUGGUAGCUCGUCGGGCUCAUAACCCGGAGGUCGCUGGUUCAAAUCCAGCCCCCGCUA